UACGUAGGUGGCGAGCGUUGUCCGGAUUUAUUGGGCGUAAAGGGCGCGCAGGUGGUGCGGUAAGGCUGCCGUGAAAUCUCCCGGCUCAACUGGGAGGGUGCGGUGGCGACUGCCGGACUGGAGGCACUCAGAGGCCGGUGGAAUUCCCGGUGUAGUGGUGAAUGCGUAGAGAUCGGGAGGAACACCAGUGGCGAAGGCGGCCGGCUGGGGGUGACCUGACGCUGAGGCGCGAAGCGUGGGGAGCGAACCGG
rnacentral:rRNA from 1 species